rnacentral:lncRNA from 1 species
CCCAGGGCUGGGAGUGCUCAGCUGAGAAUGUUCUGGAAGCUGUGCCCCGCCCUGACCCCCAGAGGAGCCUGGGCCUGCGGUCCUAGGGGAUAAGAAGGGCUCUGCAUGGAGGACAUUGGUCCUGCUGAGGCUUCCAGAGGCCCGGCGGGACGGGUGUCUGCACUGUUUUCCAGGACCCCUCCUGAGGGCUGCAAAAAGCUUCCAGGCCUCCAUGUUGAUGGCAGAGCAGGCAAGGCAGCUCACCCUUCACCCUGCUGACUUCUGUGCACAUUUGGGGCCACGUUUUCAACAGCUCCGGCACUGGAGCCAAGAUAAAGUCAGCCUAAGGUUUCCACCUCUAAUCCAGCCCCUCAGAUGCAGCUGAUGUCUUAGCCACCACACACAGCAACCUUUUUUGUCUUCACAGUUGUCUCUGAAGCAGCUUCCAACUAAAUAAAAGCAGCUUUGUAAAGGACACAUCAUUGAGGCUCUCGUGACCUGUGCCAGGUGGGAGGAAGUGACCUCUGCUCUAUUUCCCAGCCCUGAUACCCAGCCUGGCAUCAGGCGGGGGGGGCUGUUGCCUGGUUACCCAUUUGCAUUUGUAAUUUAUCAGCGUUCUCCAAAUCAUAAAGGUUUGGGUUUUAGUUAUGCAUGUCUGGCCCCUGGAAGAAAGGCUGAAUGAGAUCCCUCAGGGAGGUAAAGCUUUGGUCCCUGAAUCAUCUCUU